rnacentral:rRNA from 1 species
GGUAGCAUAAUCACUUGACUUUUAAAUGGAGCCUGGAAUGAAGGAAAGCACGUAGACAACUUGUCUCAUUAAUAAUAUACUUAAAUUAUUAAAUGAGUGAAAAUACUCAUGAUUUUAAAAAUAGACGAGAAGACCCUUAGAAUUUUUAAAAUAUAUUAGAUGAUCUAGUAAGGCUUUUUGUUGGGGCAACAAUAUUUCAUAUAAUAAAUAUUUUGUUUUAUAAUCUGUCGAUUUAAUACUUAUAGUAAAAUUACCUAAGGGAUAACAGCAUAAUUUUAGAAAUAAGCUUGUGACCUCGAUGUUGGACUAGGUACUAUUAAGGCUAAUCGUUUUAAUAUAAUAUGUUCUGUUCGAACUUUAUUACCUACAUGAUC